rnacentral:rRNA from 1 species
AUUGAACGCUGGCGGCAUGCCUUACACAUGCAAGUCGAACGGUAACAGGUCUUCGGAUGCUGACGAGUGGCGAACGGGUGAGUAAUACAUCGGAAAGUGCCCAGACGUGGGGGAUAACGAGGCGAAAGCUUUGCUAAUACCGCAUACGAUCUAAGGAUGAUAUCAGGGGACCGCAAGGCCUUGCGCGUUUGGAGCGGCCGAUGGCAGAUUAGGUAGUUGGUGGGAUAAAAGCUUACCAAGCCGACGAUCUGUAGCUGGUCUGAGAGGACGACCAGCCACACUGGGACUGAGACACGGCCCAGACUCCUACGGGAGGCAGCAGUGGGGAAUUUUGGACAAUGGGCGAAAGCCUGAUCCAGCAAUGCCGCGUGCAGGAUGAAGGCCUUCGGGUUGUAAACUGCUUUUGUACGGAACGAAAAGGCUCUGGCUAAUACCUGGGGCACAUGACGGUACCGUAAGAAUAAGCACCGGCUAACUACGUG